rnacentral:rRNA from 1 species
AAAUUGAAGAGUUUGAUCAUGGCUCAGAUUGAACGCUGGCGGCAGGCCUAACACAUGCAAGUCGAACGGUAACAGGAAACAGCUUGCUGUUUCGCUGACGAGUGGCGGACGGGUGAGUAAUGUCUGGGAAACUGCCUGAUGGAGGGGGAUAACUACUGGAAACGGUAGCUAAUACCGCAUAACGUCGCAAGACCAAAGAGGGGGACCCUCGGGCCUCUUGCCAUCGGAUGUGC